UACAGAGGAGCCAAGCGUUGUCCGGAUUGACUGGGCGUAAAGCGCACGCAGGCGGACGCGCGCGUGGGGUGUGAAAUCUGGCCGCUUAACGGCCAGGCGCCAUCCCAUACGGCGCGUCUGGAGUGAUGCAGAGGUCGGUGGAAUUGCCGGUGUAGUGGUGAAAUGCGUAGAGAUCGGCAGGAACACCCAGGGGAAACCAGCCGACUGGGCAAGUGCUGACGCUGAGGAGCGAAAGCGUGGGGAGCGAACAGG
rnacentral:rRNA from 1 species